rnacentral:rRNA from 1 species
AUGUCCUCCCCACCAUCGCCGCCGCCGGCGAGACGGCCGCCAGCCGCUCGAACCACCAUAUGCGCUCUCGGCGACGACCUGCUCCGCGCGAUCUUCGCCCGCCUCCCCGACCUCCCGAACGUCGCCCGCGCCGCCUUCACGUGUCGCGCCUUCCUCGGUGUCGUCCGCUCGUCCCCCGCUUUCCGCCGCCGUUUCCGCUCGCUCCGCGCGCCGCCCUUCCUCGCGUUCUUCGUCGAGCGCGAGAUGGACGCGCUCCCGGUCUACCCAUCCCCCUGGCGCCCCUCCGACCCAGGCCUCGCCGCCGCCUUCCGCGACGCCGAUUUCCUCCAGACCCGCAGCAUGCGCUGCCCUCCCGCCGACCACCUUGGAUGGGAGUUCGACUACAGCUUGAACGGCGAGAUCCACAUCGCCCACCGGAAGCAGCGAGCCAGCUACAGCCCACUCACGCAGGCCCUGACCCUCUUCCCCGACACCCAGAUCCUGUCGGACGGCAGCUACCUUGAGCUCCACACGCUCUCCCACCAGGAGGAACAGGGGCUGCAGCGUGUGGUCGCGGGCGCGCGUGGCCGUGUUCUCAUCGCACACCAUGGAGUGGCAUAUUUUUCCAUGGGUGGAAACAAGGGCCCUGGUGCCCAAUGA